rnacentral:sRNA from 1 species
UGGAAAUGAGGCUGCUCAUACGGGGUGCA